rnacentral:rRNA from 1 species
UACGAAGGAUGCGAGCGUUAUCCGGAUUUAUUGGGUUUAAAGGGUGCGUAGGCGGCCUUAUAAGUCAGUGGUGAAAUCCUAUCGCUUAACGAUAGACGUGCCAUUGAUACUGUAGGGCUUGAGUACAGAUGCCGUUGGCGGAAUGUGUCAUGUAGCGGCGAAAUGCAUAGAUAUGACACAGAACACCGAUUGCGAAGGCAGCUGACGAAACUGUAACUGACGCUGAGGCACGAAAGCGUGGGGAUCAAACAGG